CACGACAAAGGCAAACCCUGAGUGAUCAGGGGGCGCAAAGUAAAGGGUCUUUAUGUAGCUGUUUAAACGGUGUAAACCGAUUUAACGCUGAACGAAAAGAUAGCCUUGCUGCCGAAA
rnacentral:ncRNA from 1 species